rnacentral:rRNA from 1 species
GUGGGGAAUAUUGGACAAUGGGCGGAAGCCUGAUCCAGCCAUGCCGCGUGUGUGAAGAAGGCCUUUUGGUUGUAAAGCACUUUAAGCGAGGAGGAGGCUCCUUUAGUUAAUACCUAAAGUGAGUGGACGUUACUCGCAGAAUAAGCACCGGCUAACUCCGUGCCAGCAGCCGCGGUAAUACGGAGGGUGCAAGCGUUAAUCGGAUUUACUGGGCGUAAAGCGCGCGUAGGUGGCCAAUUAAGUCAAAUGUGAAAUCCCCGAGCUUAACUUGGGAAUUGCAUUCGAUACUGGUUGGCUAGAGUAUGGGAGAGGAUGGUAGAAUUCCAGGUGUAGCGGUGAAAUGCGUAGAGAUCUGGAGGAAUACCGAUGGCGAAGGCAGCCAUCUGGCCUAAUACUGACGCUGAGGUACGAAAGCAUGGGGAGCAAACAGGAUUAGAUACCCUAGUAGUCC